CCUACGGGAGGCUGCAGUGGGGAAUAUUGGACAAUGGGCGAAAGCCUGAUCCAGCCAUGCCGCGUGUGUGAAGAAGGCCUUCGGGUUGUAAAGCACUUUCAGUGGGGAAGAAAGCCUUGGGGCUAAUACCCUCGAGGAAGGACAUCACCCACAGAAGAAGCACCGACUAACUCCGUGCCAGCAGCCGCGGUAAUACGGAGGGUGCGAGCGUUAAUCGGAAUUACUGGGCGUAAAGCGCGCGUAGGCGGUCUGAUAAGCCGGUUGUGAAAGCCCCGGGCUCAACCUGGGAACGGCAUCCGGAACUGUCAGGCUAGAGUGCAGGAGAGGAAGGUAGAAUUCCCGGUGUAGCGGUGAAAUGCGUAGAGAUCGGGAGGAAUACCAGUGGCGAAGGCGGCCUUCUGGACUGACACUGACGCUGAGGUGCGAAAGCGUGGGUAGCAAACAGGAUUAGAUACCCGGGUAGUC
rnacentral:rRNA from 1 species